rnacentral:rRNA from 1 species
CCUACGGGAGGCUGCAGUGAGGAAUAUUGGGCAAUGGGCGCGAGCCUGAACCAGCCAAGCAGCGUGAAGGAUGAAUGCCCUACGGGUUGUAAACUUCUGUUGUCAGGGAAUAAAGUGCGGCACGUGUGCCUUUUUGUAUGUACUUUAUGAAUAAGAAUCGGCUAACUCCGUGCCAGCAGCCGCGGUAAUACGGAGGAUUCGAGCGUUAGCCGGAUUUAUUGGGUUGAAAGGGAGCGUAGGUGGGUUGUUAAGUCAGUUGUGAAAGUUUGCGGCUCAACCGUAAAAUUGCAAUUGAUACUGGCAGUCUUGAGGACAGGUGAGGUAUGCGGAAUUCGGGGUGUAGCGGUGAAAUGCUUAGAUAUCACGAAGAACUCCGAUUGCGAAGGCAGCUUACUAGACUGCCACUGACGUUGAUGCACGAAAGUGUGGGUAUCGAACAGGAUUAGAUACCCUUGUAGUC